UUUUAUAUUUUAUGGGGCAAAGGGGUGGGGCUGGAUCUAUGGUUGGGGUGGGAAUGUGUGUCGGAAAACCGCAGCCAACCAGUCAGAAAAUUCGGGAUAAAGCGAUAUAUAUUCAUGACCCACAAUUUUAUUUUCUUUAUUUUAUUCAAAAUUGGGAGGCUAACCAAAUCUUCAAUCAAUCACUACCCAACAUCCAUUUGCACACGGAAAAGGCAAAAGAUGGAAAAUACCAGAAUUGCAAAGAAAACAGAGGAUUUUCGAAGAAGAAGAAAGAAGAAGAAACCUGUUGAAGAAUAACCCAUUAAAAGUUUUUCAUUUGGUUUUUAGUUUCUCUUUUCUGGCUUAGUUUUCUGCAACCAAAGUUUCAGCUUCGUAUAUCCAGUCUCUUAUUGCUUAAUUCCCUGUUGAAGAAUCAAACUUUGAGGCUGGGUUUUGGCUGUCUCUCUGUGAACCUCUCUCUCUCUCCUCUCUUUUUCUCUGUCUUUGUGUGUCUCUGUCACUCUCUAUCUCAGUCUAUGAACUCGCAACAAGGAAGGGGUUUGGUCGGCAAAGCUAUGAACUCGCGAAGAAGUAGGCAUGGGUGGUAGGCAUGGGUGCCUUGAUGGUUUUUGGCGAUGGCUAGGUGGUGGUCGGUAGACGAUAUUUUGGAGACAGAGCGAAAGAGAGGGAGAGACAGAGCGAAAGGACGUUUUUACCCCUCAUUUUGACAGAUAAAUUGACAGAGUUGGACGGUAGGACCCAAUUGCAACUAAUUGUUUAAUUAAAGGAUGUUAUUGUCACAAAAAUUAGUUCGCGGACCCAAUUGCAACUGGGGCCAUAAUUCAAGGACAUCUACAAUAAUUAAACUUUUUUUUCCUGAUGAAUCUCUAUUUAAACUUACGUUUACAUAA